rnacentral:rRNA from 1 species
GAUGAACGCUGGCGGCGUGCCUAACACAUGCAAGUCGAACGGAGAUUUGACGCUGCAGAGACUUCGGUCAAAKCUUGUUAAAUCUUAGUGGCGGACGGGUGAGUAACGCGUGGGCAACCUGCCUCGUACUGGGGGAUAACAGUUGGAAACGACUGUUAAUACCGCAUAAGCGCACGGUAUCGCAUGAUACAGUGUGAAAAACUCCGGUGGUACGAGAUGGGCCCGCGUCAGAUUAGCCAGUUGGCGGGGUAACGGCCCACCAAAGCGACGAUCUGUAGCCGGACUGAGAGGUCGGACGGCCACAUUGGGACUGAGACACGGCCCAAACUCCUACGGGAGGCAGCAGUGGGGGAUAUUGCACAAUGGGCGAAAGCCUGAUGCAGCGACGCCGCGUGAGUGAAGAAGUAUUUCGGUAUGUAAAGCUCUAUCAGCAGGGAAGAAAGACUCGUAAGAGAGAUGAC